ACGCUCCGUCAGCCCGUGAUGUAUUUGACAUUUUUGUGUCCGUUUGUGUACAAACAUCACAAGCGGCGCGGCGGGGUCGACGCGCUCGCCAGCGCAUCCACUACCAUGUACCAGCGAGAGAAAGCCACCUUAGAUUUUCAGAAUCUCUUUUUACCUCAUUCAAGCUUCAGCGAAUUUAUUCUAACUUCCGGGUGGUAAGGAUCACGUCAGUGGAGUUUUCUGCGGCGAAUUCGUGAUAAUACUCAAAACUUCUUUCAAGUGAUCGUAUGUAUACUGGAGUAGGACAACAACAAAUAUUUUAAGUUUGCCAGAUUGAGUUUGGUCUUUGGUUUGGAGUUAUGGAUUGACGACAUUAGAACCGCUAUAUUCAUUUGGCAGCAUUUUACCAGAGUAAUACAGUGAUACCAAGCAGAGACUGAUCCCAGACCACACAAGGUAUUAAUCUCUAUAUUUCUAUGAAUAUGAUAUUUAAAAGCAAAAAAAUAGCAAUAGUUUUCCCAUCAGUCUCAUGAAGGCUUUUCAUUAUCUCUCAUAAAUGUGCAGAUUCUAAGCAGGGCCGUGGGAACGAUUUCUUGAGUGGGGGCGCUGAAGUCAAUUUGACAAGCAAAAAGAAGGGUUUCACUACAAAUUGAAGGUCGUUUUCAUUCCACAAAACUUGACAAGCCCCCCAAAAAAGGUUUCAAUGCAAAAUGUUUUUCAUUUCACAUACAUUUCUCAAAUUUUACACACCAGAAUUCUAGGAGGUGCUGCCUAUGUAUGGAAAAUAAUACAAGCAGCACCCCCUGGGAAAAUCUUGGGGGUGCCCGCACCCCCGAUUCCCAGUGCCUUGAUUCUGAGUCAUUGCAAGACAGAUUAUCAUUGUUGUAUAAUAUUAAAUAAUCAAUAUAAAAAGCAUAGUAGUUCAUGCAUGAAAACAACUAUACCUGAAAAAUGAGGAAAUGAAUGGUCAGGUAUUAAAAAUUGUAAAAUUUGUAUUGUAAAUGUUCAACUCCAUAUCUAGAAAAGGUGUGAUGACACAGUACAAAGUUCAUUCUCACUUGCAUGUAAAAGUUAAAACCUGAAUUGCUUAUAUAUUUAAUAGGUGUUCUGUUUCUGUGUAUUGUAAACGUAAAAUUAAGUGUCUAUGAGAGCACAUUUCACCUACAGUAAUGUGAUCCUUAUAUGAUCAAAGUUGGAUAGAAACUUGUAAUUCAAUUGAAUUUGAAGAGGCUCCAGUAUAUACAUGUACAUGUACAUUGUAAACCAUCGGUCUGGAUACACUUUAGAAGUUAAGGUAAGAAUUUCUAAUUAAUUAGUUCUGCUAUUUUAUUAUUUUUUUUUUUUAUAUGAGAUUUUAAAAGUGUAUUUUAAUCAUUUUGUUCCCGGGCAACUUAUUUAUGGUAUGAUUGUUGUCAUUGUGUACAGGCCUUGAUCCUUAUAUUUUUUUAGGGCAAGGCCACUUUUCAAAAGGGCACACCUUUUACAGCACAAAUGAGAAAAAGAAAUAGGGCAAAAAUUUUAAAGGACUAAAAAUAUAUAUAUUCAGGCCAGUGAAGGGGGAUUUGGAGCCAAGUAAUAGGACAUCCAAGGUGGAGCUUUUGAUGAUCAAUUGGAGCCAUGUUGUAGAAGAUUAAUUUGAAUUGUUAUCAUUCAAGUAGGUUGAACUGUAUAGACAACACAUGAUCAACUCACUGCAUUCUGGGUGAAGAGUCUGGAACACUAUUAAAAACAGUUCAUGACUAAAAGCUGUGCUAUUCAAACUGACUUGUAUACAGUGUGUAUCAAAAAAAAGUUUACACUUAGAAAAAAAAAUCCUGUAAAAUUAUACAUUUGUAAUAUCCUGCAGAUUUUUCCACAUUUUAACAUUGGUACAGACCCAUUUAAGCAAAUGACGAUAUAACUGUCGAAAAAAAAUUCCGCUUGAGUGAGCACCCCUUACUUUUGAAAAGCUAGUGAAAAAUGAUUUGCGCAGAGCUUUGAAAUAGUUAUGCGAAUAAAAGUAGACCUAAAUCAUGAAGAACACAUGGAAUUUAGCUAGUAAAACUGAUUUAAAGAUAUCUUUAACCUUUUUAACUUGUUUCCUUGCCCCAAACACUUCGAAGAGUGCAUUGCGCCCCACCCCCACACACACACAGAGCGAGUUCAUCGUGACGAUAUUUGCUUUACACUGAGCUGUGAUUUACAUGAAAUGGCUUCGGCUUGAUUUUAAUUUUUUAAUCAUUGUCAAGCUUGGGAAAAGGGUGGAGAAACAAGUAUCAGAUGAAAAUGAAAUGUAAACCCACUUUAAAUGAUAAAAACUUCGUGAAGAAAUGUUGGAGAUGUCUGAUAUAAACUUGUUCAGAUUCAGUUAUGUCCUCAUAUCCAGCUGGCACAAAAAGGGUAAAGGUUGUGCUUUUAAGUGUUGAAAUUUCAAUUUGGUUGGCAAAAUUAUUACAAAAUCGCUUGAAUGUAUCCAUUUGAUUUCAAUUGAUUAAAAGUGCAAGGGAAAUGUAUGAGAUGUUUCGCAGGGUAAGUUUGAUUUCACCCUUUCCCCUCGACACAGCGUGAAAACAAGCAUUUCUGCGCAAACAGAUUUGUGCGAGCUUUACAAAAAAGGACAGUGCUCACUCAAGUGUAACAUUCUGUCAAAUCUUUUACUUUCAUUGGAUAGAUGAAACCCAAACCCAAGAAUAUAUGUGAAAAAAAUUACCAACAUGUUUUUUUUUUAUAAAUAAUUCCCAGGGCUUUUACAAAGUGUAAACUUUUUUUUGAUACGCACUGUAUACUUACCUUUAUAAAAGUUGCACCUGUUGUAAGAUAUAUUUUCGUAUUAAGGGGGAAUUCCAUUUAGAGUGGUACAGUACAUGUAUGUGUUGACAUGAAUUCAAAGUGAUAUAUAUACAUGUAUGUAGUUUGGUUUCCAACUCUCACAAUUAUGCUAAAGAAUACAUGUAUUUAAAAAAAAUAUGAAGUGGCAUACUGUACAUUGUAUGCCAGAUUCUACAUGUACAGACAAUGUUAUGUUGUACUCUACAUGAAUAACAAGCCAGGUUCUACACAAAUAUUUACUGUGCGGUCUGUUAGUGUGUAGAAGUAGAUGGGUCAAUAUAUGGUUUGACCCGGAACAAAUUGCAACAAAUGAUUUUUCAACUGUUUCUGGCAGUAUUUGACCUCAGGAAUAACAUACUAAAAAUCUACCAAAAUCCACUUAUGGGAAAGUACAUGUAGUUAUUUUCAAGAUGGUGUCCAAAAUGGCCGUCAUUCACUGAAAAUGGAUAUAAGUCACUCAUUAUCCACCCUGGAAUCCUAUUUGGGUUCAUAUUCCAUGGUCCAGUGGGUAAACGAAUUUAUUGAUACAAGUUAGAGUGAAUGUUAGCACUCCAGGGUACCAGGAAAAUCCAAGAUGGCGCCCAAAAUGGCUGCCGUAGGCUAAAAAAAUCCACAAUUCGUCUAUUACUUACUUAAGUGGCUUUAAUUUGGUUUCUAUUCAAUGGUUUUAAUGGUGAAGUAGUACAAAGGGACAAGUUACAAGGACAGCCAGUGGUCUGGUGUGUCCAAAAAUCCAAGAUGGCUUAAAAAAAAUUGAGUUUAAAAUGGCUGUUAAUGCUUAAAAUGGACAUAGCUCAUAUCACAUCCACCUGAGAGAUAUGAUUUUGGUGUCUAGACCAUGGUUUCAAUGGUCAAAUAAUACACUGGGACAAGUAGGGACAGUCAGUGGUCCGGUAUGUAAAAAAAUGCAAGAUGGCUUCCAAAAAUGAAGUAAAAUAAUGCUGUUGCCACUUUGAAAAAAAAAAAAAAACCAUACAUGUAGUUUGCUCAAUAUCCGGAAAUAUGAUUUUUGUGCCUAUACCAUGGUUAAAUGGGUCAAAUAAUGCAUAGGGAUAAGUUGCAAGGACGAUGGGUGGUCAAGUAUGUCCAUACAUGUAAGUCCACGGUGGCUUAAAAAAACAGUAUAAAUUAGCCGCGCUGGUAUUUACAAAUGGACAUAGUUCAUGUAAUAUCCGUCAAGGGCAUAUGAUUUUGAUGUUUUAAAAGUCAGAAAAUUACUUACGAUGACAGUCAGUGGUCCAGUAUGUCAAAAAUCCAAGAUGGCUUCCAAAAAUCGGAGUCUAAAAUCACUGCUUUUACUUUUAAAAUGGACAUAGUUCAUUUAAAAUCCACCAAGGAGAUAUGAUUUCGGUGUCCACACUAUGGUUUUAUGGUUAAAAUAAUACGUUUGGACUGGUUACAAUGAUAUGCAGUUGUCCAGUUUGCCUAAAAAUCCAAGAGGGUUUUCUAAAAAAGGCAUCUAAAACAACUCAUAUCACUCAAUAAUGGUCAGAGUUCUACAAUAUCUAUCUGUAAGAAAUAAUGUUGGUGUCUAAAUUGUGUUAGGAAGGGUCAAAUAAUAUAUUCGGACAAGUAUUGGUUAGUAUUCCAUUUUGUCAAAAAUCCAUGAUGGAUUCUCAAAUUUCAUCAAAAUGGGGGCUGUUACCAACUCAUGAAACAAUAUGAUAACUUAUCCCCAUGUAUUUUAAAGUGUAGGCACCAAGAUUAUUUCUCACAGAUGGAUAUUGUAUGAACUAUGACCAUUUUAAGUAACAUCAGUCACUUUAGAACCCAUUUUUGAAGCCAACUUGGAUUUCAAGGCAAAAUGGAUAACUGCAUAUCAUGGUAAACAGUCCCAAAGUAAUUUUUGACCCUUGAAACCCUAGUGUAGACACUAAAAUGAUAUCCCCAAGGUGUAUUUAUAAUGUUCUAUAUCCACUUUUAAAUAACAACAGUCAUUUAAGACCCCAAUUUUUAAAGCCAUCUUCGAUUUUUG